GAUGAACGCUGGCGGCGUGCCUAAUACAUGCAAGUCGAGCGAACAGACGAGGAGCUUGCUCCUCUGACGUUAGCGGCGGACGGGUGAGUAACACGUGGAUAACCUACCUAUAAGACUGGGAUAACUUCGGGAAACCGGAGCUAAUACCGGAUAAUAUAUUGAACCGCAUGGUUCAAUAGUGAAAGACGGUUUUGCUGUCACUUAUAGAUGGAUCCGCGCCGCAUUAGCUAGUUGGUAAGGUAACGGCUUACCAAGGCAACGAUGCGUAGCCGACCUGAGAGGGUGAUCGGCCACACUGGAACUGAGACACGGUCCAGACUUCUACGGGAGGCAGCAGUAGGGAAUCUUCCGCAAUGGGCGAAAGCCUGACGGAGCAACGCCGCGUGAGUGAUGAAGGUCUUCGGAUCGUAAAACUCUGUUAUUAGGGAAGAACAAAUGUGUAAGUAACUAUGCACGUCUUGACGGUACCUAAGCAGAAAGCCACGGCUAACUACGU
rnacentral:rRNA from 1 species